rnacentral:lncRNA from 1 species
CAAAGCUAGAGGAAACCAAAGUCAUAGAACAUCUGAACUCUGUCCAAACAUCGGUCGUAUUUCAAAAUUUCAGCCACCAUCCCGCAGCCAACGAUAAUAUCUGACACUUCCUGACAUCAUGAAAGCCACCAUCUGUCUAUCACCAAAACCCUGUACUUUUUAAAGACUACUUGGCUUGAUCCUUAAUGAAGCUUCAAGUUGAAUGCACAGAUCGCUUUAGAAGGAAUACAAGGAAUAAUUGACACAAGACCGAGUCUCGUUCUGUAGUCCAGGCUGGAGUGCAGUGGCGGGAUCUCCACUCACUGCAAGCUCCACCUCCCAGGUUAAAGCCAUUCUCCUGCCUCAGCCUCCUGAGUAGCUGAGACUACAGGCACUCACCACCACACCCGGCUUAUUUUUUGUAUUUUUAGUAGAGACGGGGUUUCACCGUGUUAGCCAGGAUGGUCUCGAUCUCCUGACCUCGUGAUCUGCCUGCCUCGGCCUCCCAAAGUGCUGGUAUUACAGGCGUGAGCCACCACGCCAGGCCACAAUCUUUCAUUUUUAUAAUAAAUCAUUCAUGUGUAAUUGGUUUUAUUCUGAUCAUGAUGCUGAAACUAAAUGUUUUGGUCUUGGGUGAUAAUGGAAGCUUAAAGGUAAUAUCAACUACAAAGAGAGUUUUUAAAUGUUUGGCCUGAAUAUUAUCAGCUUAAAAUUUGCACUAUUCUAUACCUGUUUCCCUUACAUAUCA